UACAGAGGGUGCAAGCGUUGUUCGGAAUCACUGGGCGUAAAGCGCGCGCAGGCGGAUGGUUGCGUCCGGAGUGAAAUUUCGCCGCUCAACGGCGAAGCUGCUUUGGAUACGGACCGUCUAGGGACCGGUAGAGGCUGGUAGAAUUGCAGGUGUAGCGGUGGAAUGCGUAGAGAUCUGCAAGAAUACCCGUGGCGAAGGCGGCCAGCUGGGCCGGAUCCGACGCUGAGGCGCGAAAGCGUGGGGAGCGAACAGG
rnacentral:rRNA from 1 species